UACGGGGGGUGCGAGCGUUGUUCGGAAUCAUUGGGCGUAAAGCGCGUGUAGGCGGUCUUGUAAGUCAGAUGUGAAAGCCCUCGGCUUAACCGAGGAAGUGCAUUUGAUACUGCGAGGCUGGAGUUCGGUAGAGGGAAGUGGAAUUCCUGGUGUAGAGGUGAAAUUCGUAGAUAUCAGGAGGAACACCGGUGGCGAAGGCGGCUUCCUGGACCGAUACUGACGCUGAGACGCGAAAGCGUGGGGAGCAAACAGG
rnacentral:rRNA from 1 species